UACGUAGGGUGCGAGCGUUAAUCGGAAUUACUGGGCGUAAAGCGUGCGCAGGCGGUUCGUUGUGUCGGCGGUGAAAGCCCCGGGCUUAACCUGGGAAUGGCCGUCGAAACUGGCGAACUGGAGUGUGGCAGAGGGGGGUGGAAUUCCGCGUGUAGCAGUGAAAUGCGCAGAUAUCAGGAGGAACACCGGUGGCGAAGGCGGGUCUCUGGGCAGUAACUGACGCUGAGGAGCGAAAGCGUGGGGAGCGAACAGG
rnacentral:rRNA from 1 species